AGAGUUUGAUCCUGGCUCAGGAUGAACGCUAGCUACAGGCUUAACACAUGCAAGUCGAGGGGCAGCAUCAUCAAAGCUUGCUUUGAUGGAUGGCGACCGGCGCACGGGUGAGUAACACGUAUCCAACCUGCCGACAACACUGGGAUAGCCUUUCGAAAGAAAGAUUAAUACCGGAUGGCAUAGUUUUCCCGCAUGGGAUAAUUAUUAAAGAAUUUCGGUUGUCGAUGGGGAUGCGUUCCAUUAGGCAGUUGGCGGGGUAACGGCCCACCAAACCAACGAUGGAUAGGGGUUCUGAGAGGAAGGUCCCCCACAUUGGAACUGAGACACGGUCCAAACUCCUACGGGAGGCAGCAGUGAGGAAUAUUGGUCAAUGGACGAGAGUCUGAACCAGCCAAGUAGCGUGAAGGAUGACUGCCCUAUGGGUUGUAAACUUCUUUUAUACGGGAAUAAAGUUAGCCACGUGUGGCUUUUUGUAUGUACCGUAUGAAUAAGGAUCGGCUAACUCCGUGCCAGCAGCCGCGGUAAUACGGAGGAUCCGAGCGUUAUCCGGAUUUAUUGGGUUUAAAGGGAGCGUAGGCGGGUUGUUAAGUCAGUUGUGAAAGUUUGCGGCUCAACCGUAAAAUUGCAGUUGAUACUGGCGACCUUGAGUGCAACAGAGGUAGGCGGAAUUCGUGGUGUAGCGGUGAAAUGCUUAGAUAUCACGAAGAACUCCGAUUGCGAAGGCAGCUUGCUGGACUGUAACUGACGCUGAUGCUCGAAAGUGUGGGUAUCAAACAGGAUUAGAUACCCUGGUAGUCCACACAGUAAACGAUGAAUACUCGCUGUUGGCGAUAUACAGUCAGCGGCCAAGCGAAAGCAUUAAGUAUUCCACCUGGGGAGUACGCCGGCAACGGUGAAACUCAAAGGAAUUGACGGGGGCCCGCACAAGCGGAGGAACAUGUGGUUUAAUUCGAUGAUACGCGAGGAACCUUACCCGGGCUUAAAUUGCAACUGACUGAACCGGAAACGGUUCUUUCUUCGGACAGUUGUGAAGGUGCUGCAUGGUUGUCGUCAGCUCGUGCCGUGAGGUGUCGGCUUAAGUGCCAUAACGAGCGCAACCCUUAUCGAUAGUUACUAGCAGGUCAUGCUGAGGACUCUAUUGAGACUGCCGUCGUAAGAUGUGAGGAAGGUGGGGAUGACGUCAAAUCAGCACGGCCCUUACGUCCGGGGCUACACACGUGUUACAAUGGGGGGUACAGAAGGCAGCUACACGGCGACGUGGUGCUAAUCCCGAAAGCCUCUCUCAGUUCGGAUUGGAGUCUGCAACCCGACUCCAUGAAGCUGGAUUCGCUAGUAAUCGCGCAUCAGCCACGGCGCGGUGAAUACGUUCCCGGGCCUUGCACACACCGCCCGUCAAG
rnacentral:rRNA from 1 species